GACGAACGCUGGCGGCAUGCCUAAUACAUGCAAGUCGAGCGAACAGAUGAAGUGCUUGCACUUUUGACGUUAGCGGCGAACGGGUGAGUAACACGUAAGGAAUCUACCUAUAAGCGGGGGAUAACAUUCGGAAACGGGUGCUAAUACCGCAUAAUAUCUUCUUCCGCAUGGAAGAAGAUUGAAAGACGGCUCUGCUGUCACUUAUAGAUGACCUUGCGGUGCAUUAGUUAGUUGGUGGGGUAACGGCCUACCAAGACGAUGAUGCAUAGCCGACCUGAGAGGGUGAUCGGCCACAUUGGGACUGAGACACGGCUCAAACUCCUACGGGAGUCAGCAGUAGGGAAUCUUCCGCAAUGGGCGAAAGCCUGACGGAGCAAUGCCGCGUGAGUGAAGAAGGCCUUCGGGUCGUAAAACUCUGUUAUAAGAGAAGAACAAAUUGUAGAGUAACUGCUACAGUCUUGACGGUAUCUUAUCAGAAAGCCACGGCUAACUACGUGCCAGCCGCCGCCGUAA
rnacentral:rRNA from 1 species